AGGAGACCAAGUCUAUGUGAAAAACUGGUCAGUGGAACCAUUAAAGGGAACAUGGGACGGUCCUCGCCAGGUGAUAAUGACCACUUAUACGGCGGUGAAAGUCGAGGGAAUCGACAAUUGGAUCCAUUACACCCGAGUCAAGAAGGUUCCAGUCUCAUGGUCGGUAGAACCUCUCUCACCUACAAAGAUGGUAUUUCGAGCCAACAAUUGAAGAUUGUGGUAUUCCUGGGGUUGAUAAGUCUAGCAGAGACCACCGUGAGAAUUGAAACCCCAGAUCCUUAUUUGUUUGUACCAGAACACACUGAUGUUUUCAGAUGACCAGGGAGCUGAAUUAAGAGAUGUCCACGUCAAGUGGAAACGGAGGGAUCAAGAUCGAAUCAUAACAGAAGGAGUGACAACAGUUUGGGAUGCGACACAACAAAAGGGUUAUACCGUCCUGCAGGUACCUGAGGUGUCUAAAACCGUAGAAGGGACAUACAUGUGUGUAGUUUGGAUUCAAAGGAGUUUUGAUUAUGGGUAUGUAGAAAUACACAUGAUAAACACAACUCGGGAAAUAAUGACUAAGGUACAAGUUAUACCCCCUAGGAAAACUCGACAUGUGAGAGAUCUGCAGAUUCCGAAUAGAGAAAUAGAACAGGAAAAUUUAAUUGUGGGCCUAAUUCGAGAUUUUGGGAAAGUACAAAACGUUACUAAAAUUACUGCAUGUCUCCCUAUGCCUCAUGCAGCAGGAGACCCAAUUCCAUGGGGAAUAAUUCCAGUGCCAGAAAUACCCAAAAUGUUUAAGAAUAUUACAAGGAAUUGCAAAUUUGUAACCAUCACAUGGAGCGAAACGGUAGAUGUAUGUUUAUUAAGUGACAAAAUGAUGAAGAAGCAAUGUGAACAGAUGCCGGGAUAUUUCCGAUGGGUAGUAAUUGGGACAUGGGUAACAAGUGAAACAAUUAAUGAAUUAAAAGGAUACUGUUUAGUUACAAAUUCAACACACCCAUGCUCUAAAGUUCCGGCUUCAGUAAAACGAGAAAAACAAGAAGAGGUCUGUCAAAAUAUUACCAGUUCUACAACCAUGGAAGAAUGGCAAACAAUUUGGGGACCCAGCCUGCUAGAGACAUAUAGUUAUAUUGGAAAGGUACAGUGGUGCAUUCACUGGAAGGGGAAAAAGAAUCAGACUUAUUCUACAGGAAAUAGAGGGAAUCAUAAUUGGAGGACAGAAACACAUACAAAAGAGGAUUGGAAUUGUACCCGAAUAUACACAUGUGAUACCCCAGACGAUGAAAUAGGCUUAAUGCCAGUCAAAACACUCCUGCAGUUAGGAUGUGAGUGUCGAGGAUAUAACCAUACUAUUAAAGGACAUG
rnacentral:lncRNA from 1 species